CGGGUGAGUAAUGUCUGGGAAACUGCCUGAUGGAGGGGGAUAACUACUGGAAACGGUAGCUAAUACCGCAUAACGUCGCAAGACCAAAGAGGGGGACCUUCGGGCCUCUUGCCAUCGGAUGUGCCCAGAUGGGAUUAGCUAGUAGGUGGGGUAAUGGCUCACCUAGGCGACGAUCCCUAGCUGGUCUGAGAGGAUGAUCAGCCACACUGGGACUGAGACACGGCCCAG
rnacentral:rRNA from 1 species